CUUAUUAAAGGGUCAAAUAUAAAAUCUUAAUUCACGUUGAUAUAGAAAAUUGAUCUGUAUUAACCAAGUUUUUGGGCUCCAGUGGCAAGGAGCUCCUUCCAAGGACGUACUCGGGGAAUACCGGGUUCGAUUCCCAGGGGGAACAACGCUUGGCCAGUGCGCAUGCCUCUACGAACGAGCCGGAUUAGUCAUUUACCAUUGGUGGGUCAGAAACCGGUGCGAAAGAAAGAAAGAAAAAAAAAGGCUAAACUGCACUUAUUAAAUGUUUCAAAUGUUAUUCAAUUUUGUUUUAGAAUUAUAUAUUUUAUCUAACUUCUUUAAACUUUUAUUAUAGUACUCAUUAUGUCGAACCUUACAAAACAUGAUUUUUAGGCUCUUGAUAUUUCGGAUGGCUUCGUUUCUAUAUGCCGAAAUUCAUUUAAAUGCCAAAGGUCAUGGAGAUACUAUUAAAGAAAGAAACAUAACAUCUGAUCAACAAAAUGCAAAAACCAUGAAAUUCCUUCGUCGCCAUCUUCAUGAUGAUCUGAAAAAUGAAUACCUUACCCUAAAAUAUCCACAAGUUCUUUGUAAUAGUUUAAAAGAAAGAUGUGAACAUCAAAAAACCAUCAUCCUCCCAAAAGCUCGUUAUGAAUGGACGCAUAUGCGUUUACAAGACUUUAAAUUUGUAACUGCAUAUAACUCUAUUGUAUUUAGAAUUACGUCUCAAUUGAAAUUGUGUGGAGAAAAAGUGACCGAAGAAGAUAUGAUGGCAAAAUAUAUUCUCCACUUUUCAUGCAUCUAAUGUGCUCCUGCCUCAGCAAUAUUGCGAAAAAUGAUUUAAAAAAUAUUCUGACUUGAUAUCCUACCUUCAUGUAGCAGAACAAAAUAACGAGAUUUUGACGAAAAAUUAUGAAGCUCGUCGCGCUGAUAGUGCUCCAUUCCAAUAAGUGAAUGUAGCAACACAUGAUAACAAUGGGAAAACUCAUGGAUGUGGCCAUGGUCAAGGUCGUGGUCGUGGGAAAGUUCAGGGUCUUGGACGUGGUCUUAAUCAUAAUCGUUGUGGAGAUCACAAAAACAUUUUUUUCACCAGGAGUGGAAAAAUGUUGGUGGAAAAAUGUUGGAAAGAAUGAAAAGCUGGUUAAAGUAGCAAAAAUAAUGAGAAUAUUUGCUAUCGGUGCGAAGGAAAAGGCCAUUGGAGUUGUACUUGUUGUUUACCAUGGCAUCUUGUUGAUCUUUACCAUCAAUCACUUUAAGAUAAAGAUAAAAAGGCUCAGACUCAUUUUGCAUAUGAAGAUGGUGGUAAUGAUUAUGUAAUAUGAAUGUUACCCACUUAGACGUUGUUGAUUUCUUUGCUAAUCCUAUGGAAAGAUUGAUCAUCUCACUGGAGAUGGAAGUUUUAAAAAAUGGAACCCUAGAUAUAAAUAAGGGUCUUGUUAACGAGUGCUACCGGCGCACUCUUUAAACAUUUUAAAAUUAGUAAUUAUACUUUAAAAAAGUCA
rnacentral:lncRNA from 1 species